AAUACCAGCUCUCCGAGUGGUGUGGAUGUUUAUUGGGCCUAAAGCAUCCGUAGCUGGCUAGGUAAGUCCCUUGUUAAAUCCACCGAAUUAAUCGUUGGAUCGCGGGGGAUACUGCUUGGCUAGGGGACGAGAGAGGCAGACGGUAUUUUCGGGGUAGGGGUGAAAUCCUAUAAUCCCGGGAAGACCACCAGUGGC
rnacentral:rRNA from 1 species